UUCAGUGCUCACUUCGCUUUCCAGAACGCGUUUCGCCAGGUGGCUUCUUCAGCUGGUUAAAUUCUGUCACAGAAACGCGUUCUGGAAAGCGAAGUGAGCACUGAAA